AUUGAACGCUGGCGGCAGGCCUAACACAUGCAAGUCGAACGGUAACAGGAAACAGCUUGCUGUUUCGCUGACGAGUGGCGGACGGGUGAGUAAUGUCUGGGAAACUGCCUGAUGGAGGGGGAUAACUACUGGAAACGGUAGCUAAUACCGCAUAACGUCGCAAGACCAAAGAGGGGGACCCUCGGGCCUCUUGCCAUCGGAUGUGCCCAGAUGGGAUUAGCUUGUUGGUGGGGUAACGGCUCACCAAGGCGACGAUCCCUAGCUGGUCUGAGAGGAUGACCAGCCACACUGGAACUGAGACACGGUCCAGACUCCUACGGGAGGCAGCAUUGGGGAAUAUUGCACAAUGGGCGCAAGCCUGAUGCAGCCAUGCCGCGUGUAUGAAGAAGGCCUUCGGGUUGUAAAGUACUUUCAGCGGGGAGGAAGGGAGUAAAGUUAAUACCUUUGCUCAUUGACGUUACCCGCAGAAGAAGCACCGGCUAACUCCGUG
rnacentral:rRNA from 1 species